CCCCAUACAUCACAAAAAAUAAGAUCCAAAACACUUGAACUUUUAAAAGUAGAAGAUAAUAAAUGUAACUUUGAAGAUUUUCCAACAAAACAAGAAUCACAAACAGUACUGGAAACAUUAUUUUGUAAAGGUAAAUGAUAAGUAGAAAGCAUUGACUUCAAAAGUUGUGGAUGAGGAUGCCCCAAUCGUUGAUGCCAAGUGGAAGUUGUAACCGCGGAAGCUUGAUGGAAUACAGACCGCCAUUACUUGGACCCGUGAGGAGGAUAGUGUGUGUAGACUUGUCCUUCACAGCAAAAUGAGUAGCGUGAAAUUAAAAAUAAACAUUAUUAUCAUGGCAAAAACGUUGGACAGAAAGGAGAUUUUGUUUAAUUUCUGGAACAUGAAGUAUGUUUUUAAGAUUAAAGGUUUUUGUCGGUGAGGAAAAACGAGUGGAACCAAUGUGUAAAAUGGGAAGUCCCUUACCGUUGCCAACAUGAAGGUUGUCACCCCCAUAAUAGGCUUCUGAGUUAUCGAGGCUGGAGAGAUUCGGUGCUACGUGGUGGCUCGAUCCGGUGUCGUUGAGCCAGUUGGUGAAUGCCUGUUGUGAGCUGUAAUCAGCAAAGUUGGCAGAUGGUUGUUGUCUUGAGCGUAUGGUUGAAGGAUCACGGUUGGGACAUUGAGACGGUAUGUGACCGAUGCCACACCUGUUACAAGUACCAUACACAGUAUUUUGAUUAGAAGCCCAACUGAAUUGAUUUCGAUUACCUCCUGUGUUGGAACGAUUGUUGGAGCUGUUAUAAUUGCCACGUCCUCCACGGUUGUUUCCUUGUCUAUUGUUUGGGUUGCGGUUUGUGUUGCGGGCUGUAUAGUUGGCCUGUGGGGAAGGGGAAGAAGGAAAUUGUAGUUGUAACCCUAGCUGGGCAGCUAGCUGUUGGACAGCCUUAACUGCAUCAGAAUGAGGCAGUGAACCGGUCGGGGCAGCAGUGGCCGAAGCAACGGGUUCACGGGCUGCAGUAAAGGCUUGUGUGGGAGGCAUAGCGGCUGCUGUUUUCUUU
rnacentral:lncRNA from 1 species